GAAUCUACAGGUCGAGCAAGUCUCGUAAAUUUCACGAUUGCGAGCCACGCUUCACGCAACCGUGUUUGCGUACUUGUGUUUCAAGUUGCGUGGUCGUACGGAGUUAUAUUUACCAAAUUUAAAUAUAAUCGUUUUCAAAAUUAAAUCAAUAUGUCAAUAUGGCUACUGGGCUACUGGGUGUAAAAGAUAAAUCUUAUUCUAUCUGUUCUUAACGAGUUUUAGAUAAUUUUAGUUGUAUUUCUUUGUAAUUUUGUGUUGUACAAAGAUUAAUUUAACAUUUUCUCUGGAAGUAUUAAUUUAGAAAGAUAAUAUGCUUCAUUGGUGUUGUGUUUUGAAGUGUGAAAUGUGAUAAAGUCAAGAUAAAGUUCACUUUUAAACUGAACUAAAUAAGGUAUCUGAGAGACAACAAUGGUUAAAUGCAAUACAAUGUACAGGUUUUACUAGCGAAAUGAAAAUUUUCCUGUCCUGUCUGCUGUAAUCAUUUUAUAUCUGGAAAACCAGCCGACUUAAUAGAUAAUAACAAUCUCCAGAUUGGGUUCCUUCAAUAAAUAUGGUCUAUAAACACAAUGAAAUAAGUUCCCCAAAAUCUAAAAUGGAGUGGUAUCAAAGGAGAAUUAAAGGGAAAAAUAUUCAUAUUGAAAUUAUUUAUAAGGCACUGGACUGUCUUAAAUUCUACAAUAAUACUAG